AGUGAACGCUGGCGGUAGGCCUAACACAUGCAAGUCGAACGGCAGCACAGUAAGAGCUUGCCUUUACGGGUGGCGAGUGGCGGACGGGUGAGGAAUACAUCGGAAUCUACUUUUUCGUGGGGGAUAACGUAGGGAAACUUACGCUAAUACCGCAUACGACCUACGGGUGAAAGCAGGGGAUCUUCGGACCUUUCGCGAUUGAAUGAGCCGAUGUCGGAUUAGCUAGUUGGCGGGGUAAAGGCCCACCAAGGCGACGAUCCGUAGCUGGUCUGAGAGGAUGAUCAGCCACACUGGAACUGAGACACGGUCCAGACUCCUACGGGAGGCAGCAGUGGGGAAUAUUGGACAAUGGGCGCAAGCCUGAUCCAGCCAUACCGCGUGGGUGAAGAAGGCCUUCGGGUUGUAAAGCCCUGUUAUUGGGAAAGAAAAGCAGCAUGUUAAUACCCCGCUGUUCUGACGGUACCCAAAGAAUAAGCACCGGCUAACUUCGUG
rnacentral:rRNA from 1 species